rnacentral:piRNA from 1 species
UGAGCCUAUUGAUGAGUACUGCGUGC